rnacentral:rRNA from 1 species
UACGAAGGGGGCUAGCGUUGCUCGGAAUCACUGGGCGUAAAGCGCACGUAGGCGGAUUGUUAAGUCAGGGGUGAAAUCCUGGAGCUCAACUCCAGAACUGCCUUUGAUACUGGCGAUCUUGAGUCCGGGAGAGGUGAGUGGAACUCCGAGUGUAGAGGUGAAAUUCGUAGAUAUUAGGAAGAACACCGGUGGCGAAGGCGGCCCACUGGAUCGGUACUGACGCUGAGGUGCGAAAGCGUGGGGAGCAAACAGG